AGUCGUGUUCGUCUAACACUCACAAUCCACUCCCUCGGGGGCCCAACAUCUUCGUUGGCCCAUUGCUCGGUGUCUGGCUCUGAUACCAUCUGUAACGGCUCAACCCUACCGCUAAAAGAUAUUGUCCUCUUUGGACUUUCCCUGUCGAGCUUUCUCUCGAGGUUUUUCAAACGCGUUUGGUAGGGAGAGGUUUCCACACUCUUAUAAAGAAUACUUCGUUCUCCUUCCCAACCGAUGUGGGAUCUCAUCUGUUUGGGGGGAUCGGGUUUUGUUGGAAUAUAUAUCCUUCUAAUAUGUACUCCUCCAUGUUGCUUUCUAAGUCUUCACCUAAUUUUGCUUUGGGGUUUGUGGUCUGGAGCAGCAGAGUAUCCUUAUGUUCAAGUGAAGUAUCUGAUAUAAAACAAAACUGAAAAACACCAACUCUUAGUCUGUCUCACUAUCAUUAGUUUGAAUUGCAUAGAGUUUGUAUUCUCCAUGUUUGAUUUUCAGCUGACUUUCUUGUAAUACUUUUCAGUUUUCCUUCUUCCUCGAGUGGAGGGGUCUUAGAUAAUACUGAAUCGAAACGAGAUCGGGUCAACUUCAGGUUCUUGAGCAUCAAAUUUGAGGCUCGUUUAUUUUGAGUCGUUCUCCACUGUUCUUGUCAUCUUGAACUCACUCUUGAAAACUACUAUGUUUACUCGUAUUUUGUAGAUUCAUUCCAUUAUCAAUUCUAGUGUUGAAAUGAAAGAACGAUUUAGAUUGUCAAUACAAAGAGAAGAGAAGAGAAGCAAGUUCAUGGCUUAUGGCCUUGUACCUCCACACGGCAUUGAUUGAGAAGAUUUUCAAACUUUGACAGAUUUUUUAUAGUAAACCCGAGAAGAGUUUCUAAGUUUUGAAUGUCAUACCUCCAAAACUCUGAUAAUCUUUUAAUGUCUAAAAUGCCCCUUUGAUAUUCAUUAUUUAUGUUUUUUUUUUUUUUAAAAAUAAUGUUAAAUUAUAAAUUUAGUUC